UGCCGCUUAGCUCAGUCGGUAGAGCAAGUGACUGUUAAUCACUGGGUCGUAGGUUCGAGUCCUACAGCGGCAGCCA
rnacentral:tRNA from 1 species